rnacentral:lncRNA from 1 species
GUUCAUCUCAAGUGGUAUUUCUGCUCUGCCAAACUUAAACAAUGCUGGACCUGAGUAGUGAAGGAUAUCUGUCCAAGGACUGCUGAUAGCAGAUAAGCAUGUGGAGAGAGGAUACAGCUGAAGGAUGCACCACCAACCUCCCCACUCAUUGAUAAAGUUGAGCAGGAGCAGUGUCACCAGCCGUGCUCCACUACAGAAACUUACAGAGGAGCGGUCCAGUUAGCAGAGACUGGACACUGUAACAAAACCAAAAGCUGGAUCUCAAAAGUGGAACAGGCACACAGUAAGCAAAAAUGGAAAUGAAAAACAUUUGUAUACUGAACAAUGCAAUCAAACACUAUCAUGAGAAAAAAAAUGAAGAAACUACGUUUCAACAUAAGAAACAUGCUGCAUGGUUUCGUACGAGUCUUCCAAUAGCUGUCCACCUCAUUUAAAUUCCAGAAGAACACACACCUGCAUCACUACACCGAAGAGAAUUAGCCCACCAGCGAUGGCAGGGAUCUCAGGGCUCAGACAUUUCCCCUUCCCAGAGAGGCCACUGGAGACAAGUGGAGAACAUUUAUCCACUGCCUGCUCCUGCUGGGGAAGGAAAAAAAAAACCUUGAUGCCC